rnacentral:rRNA from 1 species
AGUGAACGCUGGCGGUAGGCCUAACACAUGCAAGUCGAACGGCAGCACAGUAAGAGCUUGCUCUUACGGGUGGCGAGUGGCGGACGGGUGAGGAAUACAUCGGAAUCUACUUUUUCGUGGGGGAUAACGUAGGGAAACUUACGCUAAUACCGCAUACGACCUACGGGUGAAAGCAGGGGAUCUUCGGACCUUGCGCGAUUGAAUGAGCCGAUGUCGGAUUAGCUAGUUGGCGGGUUAAAGGCCCACCAAGGCGACGAUCCGUAUCUGGUCUGAGAGGAUGAUCAGACAAACUGGAAGGGAGACACGGACCAGACUACGACGGGAGGAAGCAGUGGGGAAUAUUGGACAAUGGGCGAAAGCAUGAUCCAGCAAUACCGCGUGGGUGAAGAAGGACUUAGGGUUGUAAAGCCCUUUUGUUGGGAAAGAAAAGCAGCAGGUUAAUACCACGAUGUAAUGACGGUACCCAAAGAAUAAGCACCGGCCAACUUCGUG